AGAAACUUAGUGGCGGACGGGUGAGUAACGCGUGGGUAACCCUGCCUACAUACAGGGGGAUAACAGUUAGAAAUGACUGCUAACACCGCAUAAUAUAGCGAAACCGCAUGAUUUUUGCUAUCGAAAUAGUUUAUAGGGUAUGAGAUGGGCCCGCGUCUGAUUAGCUAGCUGUGGGUAAAGGCCUACCAAGGCGACGAUCAGUAGCCGGCUUGAGAGAGUGACCGGCCACAUUGGGACUGAGACACGGCCCAAACUCCUACGGGAGGCAGCAGUGGGGAAUAUUGGACAAUGGGGGAAACCCUGAUCCAGCGAACCGCCGCGUGAGUGAAGAAGUAUUUCGGUUAUGUAAAGCUCUAUCAGCAGGGAAGAUAAUGACAGUACCUGACUAAGAAGCCCCGGCUAACUACGUGCCAGCCGCUGC
rnacentral:rRNA from 1 species